AUUCUACUCCCUCCGUUGCACAAUACAUGCCUUCUAUUUGUCAAAAUAUAUAUGUAUCUAGACAUGUUUUAGUAUAUAGGCACAUCCAUUUUUGGACAAAUGGUAGUCAAGUAUUUUGGAACGGAGGGAGUACACA
rfam:Triticum aestivum genome assembly, contig: Triticum_aestivum_CS42_TGACv1_scaffold_051153_1BS